AUUGAACGCUGGCGGCAGGCUUAACACAUGCAAGUCGAGCGGGGUGAUGGUGCUUGCACUAUCACUUAGCGGCGGACGGGUGAGUAAUGCUUAGGAAUCUGCCUAUUAGUGGGGGACAACAUCUCGAAAGGGAUGCUAAUACCGCAUACGUCCUACGGGAGAAAGCAGGGGAUCACUCGUGACCUUGCGCUAAUAGAUGAGCCUAAGUCGGAUUAGCUAGUUGGGGGGGUAAAGGCCUACCAAGGCGACGAUCUGUAGCGGGUCUGAGAGGAUGAUCCGCCACGCUGGGACUGAGACACGGCCCAGACUCCUACGGGAGGCAGCAGUGGGGAAUAUUGGACAAUGGGGGGAACCCUGAUCCAGCCAUGCCGCGUGUGUGAAGAAGGCCUUAUGGUUGUAAAGCACUUUAAGCGAGGAGGAGGCUCUUUUGGUUAAUACCCAAGAUGAGUGGACGUUACUCGCAGAAUAAGCACCGGCUAACUCUGUGCCAGCCGCCGCCGUAA
rnacentral:rRNA from 1 species